rnacentral:lncRNA from 1 species
GACAAUAAUCAUGUAGAACAUAUACGAAUACAGGUCAUCCAAAUGUCCCCCAUCUAUCUUAUUUCUUUGCCUGUGAUGCGCCAAAGGAAAUGUUUUACAAUACCUGGUAGUCUUGUCCUCCAGGCAUUCGCUUCGUGCGCUAGAAGAUCGAUGAAGAAGUUGUGCCGCAUUGUUAUAGCAUCCUGUAAGUAAGAUAAGUGCUUACUUCAAGUUAAGCUCGGAUUUAUCGUAUAUUGUAAAAUUACAAAGGAACGUACAACAAAGCAUAUUUACUCACUUUUUUGAUGUGCACGUUUCGAGGACUAUCCCACCAUGCCAUGUACUGUAGAAUAAGCCAUCCAUCUGAAAAUCUGUGGUACGAUGAAUCGUCAGCUAUAUAAAUAUACGAACAUAUCUUUUAAGAAAUAAAGGAUAUUGACA